UACGUAGGGUGCGAGCGUUAAUCGGAAUUACUGGGCGUAAAGCGUGCGCAGGCGGUUUUGUAAGCCAGAUGUGAAAUCCCCGGGCUUAACCUGGGAAUGGCAUUUGGGACUGCAAGGCUCGAGUGCGGCAGAGGAGACUGGAAUUCCUGGUGUAGCAGUGAAAUGCGUAGAUAUGCGGAGGAACACCGAUGGCGAAGGCAAUCCCCUGGACCUGUACUGACGCUCAUGCACGAAAGCGUGGGGAGCAAACAGG
rnacentral:rRNA from 1 species